CGCGCCGCAGGGAGAAGCAGCCGCGGAGAGCCGGCGCCCAGCCAACAUUGCUGAACAGGAAAAAAAAUACCAAUUAUAAGUAUUGGACAAAUGAACAUUGAACAACUGGAGUAGCAAGUUAUAGUGGAGGGCGUGAGCGCAGCGACUGCUUUCUGAUGUGUGGACAGAAGUCAGCCAAAGACGGGAAGAGACUCCUUAAAACUCUUUCCUCUCACGGGUUCCCGAACUUUCCAUAUCGCCUUGGUAUUAUGAAGGAUUCGACUUCAUUGUGUUAAAGUGAUGACACAAUAUGCAACAUCGGAAACAACGUAAAUUUUUAGAUCAUGUGAACAAGUGGACUUGUCUCAGCACGGGGUUUGUUUGUGGGAUCCAAAGUAUUUCUUUAUGUCGCAAUUAGAUAUUGCAGCUUUGCGCUGGUUUCACAAAUGUAAAUUCUCUACAAUAAAUUAAUACUUCUUACAAAUUCGUCCGUAACUUCAUGGCAUAUCCAGAGCUUCAAUAAUGUUUGUUUAUUAGAAGUUAAUGUCAUUUAAAUUGAUGGAACUGGUGCCAAUAAUGUCAAAGUAAUAUUUAAAGUUUCUACAUAAACCCCUGAAUUAAAUCAAAACCUUUA